UACGGGAGGCAGCAGUGGGGAAUAUUGCACAAUGGGCGCAAGCCUGAUGCAGCCAUGCCGCGUGUAUGAAGAAGGCCUUCGGGUUGUAAAGUACUUUCAGUCGUGAGGAAGGUGUUAAGGUUAAUAACCUUAGCAAUUGACGUUAGCGACAGAAGAAGUACCGGCUAACUCCGUGCCAGCAGCCGCGGUAAUACGGAGGGUGCGAGCGUUAAUCGGAAUUACUGGGCGUAAAGGGCACGCAGGCGGUUAAUUAAGUUGGAUGUGAAAUCCCCCGGGCUUAACCUGGGAAUGGCAUUCAAGACUGGUUAGCUAGAGUCUUGUAGAGGGGGUAGAAUUCCAUGUGUAGCGGUGAAAUGCGUAGAGAUGUGGAGGAAUACCGGUGGCGAAGGCGGCCCCUGGACAAAGACUGACGCUCAUGUGCGAAAGCGUGGGGAGCAAACAGGGAUUAGAUACC
rnacentral:rRNA from 1 species